UACGUAGGGUGCGAGCGUUAAUCGGAAUUACUGGGCGUAAAGCGUGCGCAGGCGGUUCGUUGUGUCGGUGGUGAAAUCCCCGGGCUUAACCUGGGAAUGGCCAUGGAAACUGGCGAACUGGAGUGCGGCAGAGGGGGGUGGAAUUCCGCGUGUAGCAGUGAAAUGCGUAGAGAUGCGGAGGAACACCGAUGGCGAAGGCAGCCCCCUGGGCUAGCACUGACGCUCAGGCACGAAGCGUGGGGGAGCAAACAGG
rnacentral:rRNA from 1 species